rnacentral:lncRNA from 1 species
ACGGAGCUCCAGUUGACGAGGGAAAACGAAGAAGGCGCUUGUCCCGGGGAUCCAUGGCACAUCCAAAUGAAGGAUCGGAUGAGCUUGUUGAUCUGUUUGAGGACGCUGAAAGAGAUCGGUAUGGUCGACUAGAGGGGGGUGAAUAGGCGACUAACAAAUUUUACUUUUUAUUUUUCUUUUCUUGAAAGAUACAAAACACUUAAUUCUAUGGUUUACUAGAUUCUCUAAAAAUUGAAUGCAACCCUAGUAUGAAAUGCAAUAGCCGAAGCAACGAUAGGUAGCAACAAUGGAAAGGGCAAAAUGAUACCACACCCGGAGACUAAGAUUUCACCGGAUUUCCACCCAUUGGGAUCGGUGUACGUCUGCGUUUGGAGGAGUGCUCUACAACAAAGGUAAAGACUCCACAAAGGCUCACUCUAUUCUCUAACUCACCACACCACGAAGGGGAUGUGAGUUCUACUAGUGGCUUCCUUGGGGGCGAAGUCCAAACCCUUACAAACUUGACCGGAGCUAGCUAGCUCCACAACUCAAUUGGAGGCUUCCAAUCCAAUCCCCGAGCUCCUCAACACCAAGGGAGAGCUCAAGGUGACCGCUUUCGUCU